AUUGAACGCUGGCGGCAGGCCUAACACAUGCAAGUCGAACGAGUGGCGGACGGGUGAGUAAUGUCUGGGAAACUGCCUGAUGGAGGGGGAUAACUACUGGAAACGGUAGCUAAUACCGCAUACCAUCAGAUGUGCCCAGAUGGGAUUAGCUAGUUGGUGGGGUCACGGCUCACCAAGGCGACGAUCCCUAGCUGGUCUGAGAGGAUGACCAGCCACACUGGAACUGAGACACUGUCCAGACUCCUACGGGAGGCAGCAGUGGGGAAUAUUGCACAAUGGGCGCAAGCCUGAUGCAGCCAUGCCGCGUGUAUGAAGAAGGCCUGCGGGUUGUAAAGUACUUUCAGCGGGGAGGCGUUACCCGCAGAAGAAGCACCGGCUAACUCCGUGCCAGCAGCCGCGGUAAUUC
rnacentral:rRNA from 1 species